AUACCGUGAUGAGGACAUCCUCUGAGUAAUUCUUUGAAUCUUUCCUAUACAUCAUACAAGCUUUCAUCUUCAAGUUAA
rnacentral:snoRNA from 1 species